rnacentral:rRNA from 1 species
CAGCAGCCACGGUAAUACGUAGGGUGCAAGCGUUAAUCGGAAUUACUGGGCGUAAAGCGUGCGCAGGCGGUUCGGAAAGAAAGAUGUGAAAUCCCAGAGCUUAACUUUGGAACUGCAUUUUUAACUACCGGGCUAGAGUGUGUCAGAGGGGGGUGGAAUUCCACGUGUAGCAGUGAAAUGCGUAGAUAUGUGGAGGAACACCGAUGGCGAAGGCAGCCCCCUGGGAUAACACUGACGCUCAUGCACGAAAGCGUGGGGAGCAAACAGGAUUAGAUACCCCUGUAGUCCCUGUCUCUUAUAC